AUCACAAUGACAAACACACAUUACACACACAACAUCACGAUGACAAACACACAUUACACACACAACAUCACGAUGACAAACACACAUUACACACACAUCACAAUGACAAACACAACAUUACACACACACAACAUCACAAUGACACACACAUCACACACACAUCACAAUGACAAACACACAACAUUACACACAUAUACACACAGCCUGAGGGCCCUCCCCAGCCCAGACUAACACAUCUCGGGGUGAGGACCAGACCUUGUUCAUAACCCUGGGCCUCUUAACCACUGAUCUUUGAAAUAAAUGGCAAAUAGUUGUACCUGGAUCUGUCUAGUUCUUAGGGGAACAAACUGAAGAAGGGUGGAGAGGAAUUGUCAGGCCUAAAGAGCCCCACAGGGAAAGGGAGGAGUCGGAUGGGGGGCAACCAUCAGCAACAAGUGGUGGCUCCUAGAGGCAGAGGGAUGGAGGUAAUGACCCAUGGAGGUCAUUCUACAGAUGAGGAACCUGGACCCAGUUGGCUCAAGUCCAUGCAGGAAAUGUGGGGGAAACCAGAGACCUCACGUCUGGAUCUGGCUUCCUCUCCAAUCCACAAUUCCUGAGGAAGUAGAGGCUACAUCCCGCAAGACGCCCUUAUUAGACACAUCCAGGACAGAAUGACAAUCCGCCAAGCCAGCUGGAAGCAUAAAACACAGGGAGCUGGUGGGUUGGGUGGGGGCAGAUAAUGAUAUGCAUACAAAUUAGAGGGUCUAUGCAAAUGAGCAUUGCUGCAGUGUGGCUGGAGGGAAUCCUUAGUUCCUAGGAUUCUAGGAUAUGGGUUUCGACCCCAGAGGUGAAUGUAUUGUUAUUAUUGUUUUGUUGUUGUUGUGAAUGACAAGUCAAAAUUUGUGGGUUAUUGUUGUUAUCGCCAAUAGUAUUCUUGUCAUUGUUGCACAGUACAGAGAUGAAGGAAACAGAUUUUGCAAUCAGAUGAUCCUGGGUUCUGAGUCCACUCUGCCACUCACCAGCUAUAUGACCUCCAGCAAUUUCCAUCACCUCUCAAUGCUUCAGUUUCCCCAUCGGCAAGAUGGUUGUGGGGGGAGAGGAACAACAGUACAGAUUCACCAUCCCAAAUUCAAAAUGCUCCAAAAUCUAGGCCGGGCGUGGUGGCUCAUACCUGUAAUCCCAGCACUUUGGGAGGUCAAAGUGGACGGAUAACCUGAGGUCAGGAGCUCCAGACCAGCCUGGCCAACAUGGCGAAACCCCAUCUCUACUAAAAAUACAAAAAAUUACCUGGGUGUGGUGGGGGGCACCUGUAACCCCAGCUACUCGGGAGGCUGAGGCAGGAACCCUGGAGGUUGAGGUUGCAGUGAGCUGAGAUCACACCACUGCACUCCAGCCUGGGUGACAGAGCAAGGCUCCCAUCUCAAAAAACAAAAAAACAUGCUCCAAAAUCUGAAACUCUUUGAGCCCCAGUGUGAUGCCACAAGUGGGAAAUUCCACAACUCAUCACAUGUGAUAGAUUGCAGUGGAAAUGCAGGCACACACCACGAAGUUUACUCAGCAUCCUCAAAGGAAAUCCCCGUCAGUAGCUAUAUAUCAUUUUCUCACAUGCCAGAUAGGUAUCUCUCAUCUUUUACUGUUAGGUACUUCUGUGUUGAAUAGGUGGAGGAAAAUGAUUGCUGGUUAGUAGUAUAUAAAUUCAGAGUCAGGAAGGAUGGUGAUGUCGGCUGGGUGCAGUGGCUCAUGCCUGUAAUUCCAAUGUGAUACCCUACCUUGUGUUUAACGUGAUUGACUCUCCCUUAGCUGAGAGGGCCAGGCAGACUCUAUUUUGGCUUCUUCGCUUGCAGUCUCUCACCCACCCCCCUUCCUCAAGGACUUAAGCUGACUCCCAGCACAUCCAAGAAUGCGAUUACUGAUAAGAUACUGUGACAAGCUAUAUCCACAAUUCCCAGGAAUUCGUCCGGUUGAUAGCACCCAAAGCCCCCGCGUCUAUCACCUUGUGAUAGAUUUAAAGCCCCUGCACCUGGAACUGUUUGUUUUUCUGUUACCAUUUAUCUUUUUCACUUUCUUGCCUGUUUUGCUUCUGUAAAAUUGCUUCAGCUCGGCUCCCUCUUCCCCUUCUAAACCAAGGUAUAAAAAGAAACCUAGCCCCUUCUUUGGGGUGGAGAGAAUUUUGAGCGCUAGCCGUCUCUCAGUCGCCGGCUAAUAAAGGACUCCUGAAUUAGUCUAA
rnacentral:lncRNA from 10 species